rnacentral:rRNA from 1 species
GCGCGAAAACUUUACAAUGCCGGCAACGGCGAUAAGGGGACCUCGAGUGCCAGGUUACAAAUCUGGCUGUCGUGAUGCCUAAAAAGCAUUGCAUAGCAAGGGCCGGGCAAGACCGGUGCCAGCCGCCGCGGUAACACCGGCGGCUCGAGUGGUAACCGUUAUUAUUGGGUCUAAAGGGUCUGUAGCCGGCCGGAUAAGUCUCUUGGGAAAUCCAGCAGCUCAACUGUUGGGCUUUCAGGAGAUACUGUCUGGCUCGAGGCCGGGAGAGGUGAGAGGUACUUCAGGGGUAGGGGUGAAAUCUUGUAAUCCUUGAAGGACCACCAGUGGCGAAGGCGUCUCACCAGAACGGACCUGACGGCAAGGGACGAAAGCUAGGGGCACGAACCGGAUUAGAUACCCGGGUAGUCCUAGCCGUAAACGAUGCUCGCUAGGUGUCUGGGAUGGUGCGACCGUUUCAGGUGCCGCAGGGAAGCCGUGAAGCGAGCCACCUGGGAAGUACGUCCGCAAGGCUGAAACUUAAAGGAAUUGGCGGGGG